GGGUGAGAAUCCCGUGCGAUGAGAUGCCCAAUCCUAUGUAAGGUGYUUUCSAASAGUYRAKUUGUUUGGGAAUGCAGCUCUAAGUGGGUGGUAAAUUCCAUCUAAAGCUAAAUAUUGGCGAGAGACCGAUAGCGAACAAGUACAGUGAUGGAAAGAUGAAAAGAACUUUGAAAAGAGAGUGAAAAAGUACGUGAAAUUGUUGAAAGGGAAGGGUUUGAGAUCAGACUCGAUAUUUUGUGAGCCUUGCCUUCGUGGCGGGGUGACCCGCAGCUUAUCGGGCCAGCAUCGGUUUGGGCGGUAGGAUAAUGGCGUAGGAAUGUGACUUUGCUUCGGUGAAGUGUUAUAGCCUGCGUUGAUGCUGCCUGCCUAGACCGAGGACUGCGAUUUUAUCAAGGAUGCUGGCAUAAUGAUCCCAAACCGCCCGU
rnacentral:rRNA from 1 species